CCCUUCGGGGUACACGAGCGGCGAACGGGUGAGUAACACGUGGGUGAUCUGCCUUGCACUUCGGGAUAAGCCUGGGAAACUGGGUCUAAUACCGGAUAUGACCUCGGGAUGCAUGUUCUGGGGUGGAAAGAUUUAUCGGUGCGAGAUGGGCCCGCGGCCUAUCAGCUUGUUGGUGAGGUAACGGCUCACCAAGGCGACGACGGGUAGCCGACCUGAGAGGGUGACCGGCCACACUGGGACUGAGACACGGCCCAGACUCCUACGGGAGGCAGCAGUGGGGAAUAUUGCACAAUGGGCGAAAGCCUGAUGCAGCGACGCCGCGUGCGGGAUGACGGCCUUCGGGUUGUAAACCGCUUUUGACAGGGACGAAGCGCAAGUGACUGUACCUGUAGAAUAAGGACCGGCCAACUACGUGCCAGCAGCCGCGGUAAUACGUAGGGUCCGAGCGUUGUCCGGAAUUACUGGGCGUAAAGAGCUUGUAGGCGGUUCGUCGCGUCGUUUGUGAAAACUUGGGGCUCAACCUUAAGCUUGCAGGCGAUACGGGCGGACUAGAGUACUUCAGGGGAGACUGGAAUUCCUGGUGUAGCGGUGAAAUGCGCAGAUAUCAGGAGGAACACCGGUGGCGAAGGCGGGUCUCUGGGAAGUAACUGACGCUGAGAAGCGAAAGCAUGGGUAGCAAACAGGAUUAGAUACCCUGGUAGUCCAUGCCGUAAACGGUGGGUACUAGGUGUGGGGCUCCUUCCACGGACUCCGUGCCGUAGCUAACGCAUUAAGUACCCCGCCUGGGGAGUACGGCCGCAAGGCUAAAACUCAAAGAAAUUGACGGGGGCCCGCACAAGCGGCGGAGCAUGUGGAUUAAUUCGAUGCAACGCGAAGAACCUUACCUGGGUUUGACAUACACCGGAAACCUGCAGAGAUGUAGGCCCCCUUGUGGUCGGUGUACAGGUGGUGCAUGGCUGUCGUCAGCUCGUGUCGUGAGAUGUUGGGUUAAGUCCCGCAACGAGCGCAACCCUUAUCUUAUGUUGCCAGCGCGUAAUGGCGGGGACUCGUGAGAGACUGCCGGGGUCAACUCGGAGGAAGGUGGGGACGACGUCAAGUCAUCAUGCCCCUUAUGUCCAGGGCUUCACACAUGCUACAAUGGCCGGUACAGAGGGCUGCGAGACCGUGAGGUGGAGCGAAUCCCUUAAAGCCGGUCUCAGUUCGGAUCGGGGUCUGCAACUCGACCCCGUGAAGUUGGAGUCGCUAGUAAUCGCAGAUCAGCAACGCUGCGGUGAAUACGUUCCCGGGCCUUGUACACACCGCCCGUCACGUCAUGAAAGUCGGUAACACCCGAAGCCGGUGGCCUAACC
rnacentral:rRNA from 1 species